UACGAAGGGGGCUAGCGUUGUUCGGAUUUACUGGGCGUAAAGCGCACGUAGGCGGACUAUUAAGUCAGGGGUGAAAUCCCUCGGCUUAACCGGGGAACUGCAUCUGAUACUGGAUGGCUUGAGUUCGGGAGAGGGAUGCGGAAUUCCAGGUGUAGCGGUGAAAUGCGUAGAUAUCUGGAGGAACACCGGUGGCGAAGGCGGCAUCCUGGACCGACACUGACGCUGAGGAGCGAAAGCCAGGGGAGCAAACGGG
rnacentral:rRNA from 1 species